rfam:Salmo salar isolate Sally breed double haploid chromosome ssa13, whole genome shotgun sequence.
UGGCUCAGUUGGUACAGCAUGGCACUUACAAUGCCAGAGUUGUGGGUUUAAUUCCCAU